GCUGGAAUAGCUCAGAUGGCUACAGCAUUUGUCUGUUAACCACAAUGUCGGAGGUUCAAGCCCUCCUUCUAGCG
rnacentral:tRNA from 2 species